rnacentral:lncRNA from 1 species
AAAAACUGUCGGCUACUCUCUUGGGAACAAACCACUGAGGGAGGACAGAUCAAACAAGUAGAUUCUGCAACGAACCACUCCACUUGGGGAGGAUACACAGCAAACUGAUCACAACAAGUAGAUUCUGCAGUAUAAGCCACUCUACUGGGGAUCACAAACAGUCAGGAAAUCAAUCCGUUCACUGUAGGCUAGAGCCAUC